AGAGGAAGUAAAAGUCGUAACAAGGUCUCCGUUGGUGAACCAGCGGAGGGAUCAUUACCGAGUUUACAACUCCCAAACCCCUGUGAACAUACCUUAAUGUUGCCUCGGCGGAUCAGCCCGCGCCCCGUAAAACGGGACGGCCCGCCAGAGGACCCAAACUCUAAUGUUUCUUAUUGUAACUUCUGAGUAAAACAAACAAAUAAAUCAAAACUUUCAACAACGGAUCUCUUGGUUCUGGCAUCGAUGAAGAACGCAGCAAAAUGCGAUAAGUAAUGUGAAUUGCAGAAUUCAGUGAAUCAUCGAAUCUUUGAACGCACAUUGCGCCCGCUGGUAUUCCGGCGGGCAUGCCUGUUCGAGCGUCAUUUCAACCCUCAAGCCCCCGGGUUUGGUGUUGGGGAUCGGCUCUGCCUUCUGGCGGUGCCGCCCCCGAAAUACAUUGGCGGUCUCGCUGCAGCCUCCAUUGCGUAGUAGCUAACACCUCGCAACUGGAACGCGGCGCGGCCAUGCCGUAAAACCCCAA
rnacentral:rRNA from 1 species